rnacentral:lncRNA from 1 species
CUACUAUUAUCCUGCUGCUUUGCAAUAGGUCGUUGGAGAGCAUAACUAGCCAGGUUUUUCUCUUAACCUGCUCCUGGAAACCCUUUCUAACCGCAUAUUUUGUUCUUAAUUCUUUUCUGCUGACUUCAGUUAACUGCGAAUUUCCCAUCGGUUGUUUUUUGUUUUUGUUUGUUCAUGUCUUUACUGUUCUAGUGGGGCUUGAUUUUCUUCUUUGUAGAGUACUGAAGUUACUUAGCAAAUGAGCGUACGCUGGUUUUCUUGGUUGUGGGGAUUACUCGUGAUCGCACGCUAACAGGUUUCCACCUUAGUCCAUUGCUUGUGAUCAGGCAAGUUCACUUGUGAUGAGGCAAUUGGUAACCAUCUUGCGUAGUGACCUGGGUGUAGUCAAAUCUACUGUCUUUGGUGGUAGGUGUACAAAUUACCACCAGUGGUCCGCUGUGCCUAUGGGGUGACAUUUUAGUCUGCCCUGGGAACUAGUUUGUAAAGCCUCCUGUGAAACUGGCUCUUAGGGCUUUGGGGUUGAAAUGCUGAGGCCUGAUAUAGGUCAACGUUGAUUCAGGGACUAUGGUUGUAGAUCACAAUCUUGCAGUAUAUCCUAUGUUUCUAGUAUUAAUGGUACCUAUGAGAUGUAGUUAACUGAUAUUUUGCUAUAUGAGGAGGAAUACAUUUAUUUCAGUGAUUACCUGCCGAGCUAUGUUAUAAUGUUGAUUGUGCUACAGUAAUGGUAGUACAAUAUCUUUCUUUAUCAUGAUAGAAUUUUUACUGUAAUGUGUUUUACCAGGCUAAGCGUGCUGCAAGGGACCAAAGAGGCCUGUGGUGCACCAAAACAG